rnacentral:rRNA from 1 species
GACGAACGCUGGCGGCGUGCUUAACACAUGCAAGUCGAACGGAAAGGCCCUGCUUUUGUGGGGUGCUCGAGUGGCGAACGGGUGAGUAACACGUGAGUAACCUGCCCUUGACUUUGGGAUAACUUCAGGAAACUGGGGCUAAUACCGGAUAGGAGCUCCUGCUGCAUGGUGGGGGUUGGAAAGUUUCGGCGGUUGGGGAUGGACUCGCGGCUUAUCAGCUUGUUGGUGGGGUAGUGGCUUACCAAGGCUUUGACGGGUAGCCGGCCUGAGAGGGUGACCGGCCACAUUGGGACUGAGAUACGGCCCAGACUCCUACGGGAGGCAGAAGUGGGGAAUAUUGCACAAUGGGCGGAAGCCUGAUGCAGCAACGCCGCGUGCGGGAUGACGGCCUUCGGGUUGUAAACCGCUUUCGCCUGUGACGAAGCGUGAGUGACGGUAAUGGGUAAAGAAGCACCGGCUAACUAUGUG